rfam:Oryctolagus cuniculus chromosome 17, whole genome shotgun sequence.
CAAAAGGCUUUUUAAAGCCACGAACAGUUUUUUUCAGGAUGUG